GACGAACGCUGGCGGCGUGCUUAACACAUGCAAGUUGAACGGUAAGGCCCUUCGGGGUACACGAGUGGCGAACGGGUGAGUAACACGUGGGUGAUCUGCCCUGCACUUCGGGAUAAGCCUGGGAAACUGGGUCUAAUACCGGAUAGGACCACUGCCUGCAUGGGUGGUGGUGGAAAGCUUUUGCGGUGUGGGAUGGGCCCGCGGCCUAUCAGCUUGUUGGGGGGGUGAUGGCCUACCAAGGCGACGACGGGUAGCCGGCGUGAGAGGGUGACCGGCCACACUGGGACUGAGAUACGGCCCAGACUCCUACGGGAGGCAGCAGUGGGGAAUAUUGCGCAAUGGGCGCAAGCCUGAUGCAGCGACGCCGCGUGAGGGAUGACGGCCUUCGGGUUGUAAACCUCUUUCAGCACCGACGAAGCGCAAGUGACGGUAGGUGCAGAAGAAGGACCGGCCAACUACGUGCCAGCCGCCGCGGUAA
rnacentral:rRNA from 1 species